UCCUGGGUGGUAUAAAUGGUUAAAGUGUUUGGCUGCUAACUUAAAGAUUGGUGGUUCAAGUCCACCCAGAGGUG
rnacentral:tRNA from 1 species